UGCUUCGCGUUCAAGAAGAUUUAUAGAAAGAAUUUUUUGACAUAUAUACCUUUCUGAUAACUUUCAAAUCAUAUACUUAACUGAGUAAGAAAUUACAGAACUCUAAUGAAAACCCUGAUGGCUUCAUAAAACUGCUAACAAAGAUCAAGAUCAAUAAGAAUUAAUUAUACCAAACUGAAUGAACUGAUGAACAUGAUCAUAAUUUUUAUGAUUUUUCAUCUGAACUAUUACAGGCUUUUUAGUCUUUGCUUUCCAGAUAUAAGGAAAUCUUUCCUCUUAAGCUAACAAUAUUACAGCUACUUGGUAAAUUAUACAUUUGUAAGUAGAAUUGAAACAGUUAUCUUUUUUUCUCCCUACCUGAUUGCUCCAGAAUUUGGAGACUCUUAGUGAGCUUUCUUAUUUUCAUGGCAAUAUAGUUAUUUGUAUAAGUUCACUAAGAAUAUGUUCCCCUUAUAACAGGACCCAGCUGGAAACUUUGGCUAUGGCUUUGGCUGGAAAGUCAUAUUUGAGAAUGUGCAUAGAAUCAGAUACAACCAGACAGCUUUAAGGAACUGAGGUUGACUUUAGGGAGCCAUAAAAUCCCUUGGAAAGUUAGCCUGGUACCCUGCUAACAGGUUCUCAGUGGCCUUACCAGGUGAGUAAGGAAGGUCGCUUCCUGGAAGGCACAAGAAUCUCAGAAUAUUUGGGGGACCUCAAGAAGAGAGGAAUUCACCCAAAUAUAUAGGUAUUACAGGCAAGUCAGAUGGCAAGUCCUUGGUGUGGCUUCAUGGCUUCCUGGCCUCCAUAGGCUAAUAAAAAUUUAAUCUGGAAUUCCUUGUGAAAUGGUCCAGCAAAGCAAAUUUAAAAUAGUCUUUAUGGUCAAUCACUAUUCUUUCUGGAUUUAAGUAAUCAGGCUAGGUUUAAUGAAACUAAAUUUAUUUGGCAAACAAAUUAAAUGUUAAUUCAGCUAUCUUUGUUAGAAAUGAGGGUGACUUUAGAGAAUAAAGUUGUUUUUCAGUAGAACUUUAAUACACAGUCAUGGAUAUUAGAUUCUAGUUCUGUUAAUUGUCUUCAAGGUUUUGCUUUUCCACUCGUUAGCUGGUCUGGAUCCUGAAUUCUUCUAGUUUACUCAAAUCUUUUACUACAACUUUUCAAACUAAUGUUUCCAAUUUUUCUCCCACUUUGGACGUGGAAUUGUUGAGAGCUAAAACUGCCAUUUUCCUGAAACCCUGUGAACUGAAACUGAGCAACCUGAUAUAAACUUAAGAGAGGUUACCUCAAUAGCCCAUGUUUAGACAAUCUUUGUGCUUAUUGCUGUGUAAGGCACUCAGAAAGUUUACCUGAACACCUGAUGACAUCCUCAGAGACAUUUCAAACUGCAAAAGAUGCUUCAGCCCUGACAUUGAGGAAUUUUCUGGACUGGCAGCAGUCAGAACUCACUCAGACAGUGAGUUUAUAACUUGCUCCAAUCAUUAACCAUUGUUUUUCUUUUGUCUCCAUAGAAAUGCUUCUUAUUAAAUACCCAACUUCUCAUACCCUAUAGGCCUAGCUUUGGGAGCCCACCUGCAUCUCUGCUUCCUGAAAUGAGUAACUGAACUGACCUAUUAUCAGGACUAAGAUACUGGUUCAAUGAGAUAUAAAGCAAUCUAUCAACUUAACUUCUGAACUGUGAAACUUAAGAGAAGUUUCAAAAGUGGGACUACAGAGGAGCUAUAUUUCUCACCCCAAAAUGUUUCUUUGGCAUGCAGAUUAUUUUGAGCUGAAAAAAUCAAAGCCCAAAAGACUCUUGAAGAACCUUUGACCUUCCUCCUAACUGCCUAAAGAAUGUAGAUAGAGGACCUGUUUCAGGAAGGGAGCUAUCACCGUAGAUAACUAUGGUAUGAACUGGGUGUGUACACAGGGAGGAACCUAGCAGUGUGUUUUUUAAAAUUCCUUUCUGUCUCACUGUCUCUGCAUGGCCAGCAGACAUUUGUUUACCAAAGAGUUGCUUUUCCAUCUCCAUGUAAAUUGCCUUCCCCCUCUCUGAAGUCCCAAACUGCUAUCCCCAACAUCCUAUUUUGUCUUUAGCUGAAGAUGAUAUGUAAGGUGAGGGUUUCUGCCAUUUUGGUGAGUUAUCCGGUUUUCCUGGGUCUCUCCAACGUAUACAUGUUCUUAAAAUUUUGUGUGAUUUUCUCCUGUUAAUCUGUUUCAUGUCAAUUUUAUUCUUAGACCAGCCAGAAGAACCUAGAAGGGUAGAGAAUAAUUUCUUCCUCCUGACAGAGUGAACCUGCAAAACCCUACACACCCCAACCCUGGACCCUAACAAAGGCAGAGCCCCUGAUUCUUGCUAGGUUUUCUCUCUCUCUCUCUCUCUCUCCCCCCAACCCCAUCCUCCCUCCCUCCCUCCCUCCCUCUCCAUGACCUCACAGUGUGGCCCUGGAGCUUGCCGAGUACCCUCCAAGACCUGCAAAGAGAGAGACUGGUUUCAAGAGGUUUUUUCUUAAGAGCAAGGAAUGAAUUUUCUAAGAGAUCCUGAGAAUUCUGCUCAAGUCUCCUUGGUCUACAUUUACUUGGAUCUGUCCACACCUGAAUCAGAGUUGCAAAUACUUCCUGUGGUCCGACCAUUACCCAUCAAGGUUCAUCGAGCCAAAUGGGGGAGCCCUGAAUGGCCCCUGCGUGAUCCCUGAGUGAGCUGGCCGUGUCUGAACUGGAGGCAGCCCCAGGGCCCACUGCAGGGCAGUGCUUCUGCCAGGAGUGAGCGCUGGGCCCUGAAAUGCAUCUGGGCCACCAAGGAGACUCACCCCAGCAGCAGCAAGGUUUAAAGGAAGGAGUCAGACAGUUGGCACAAUUCAUCUUGGCACAGUGAACAAGGGUAACCUAUUGGUGACUGACCUCCCUUCUGUGCUUGCUGCUUAUUUGCUUGGUGUGCUCAGUUCUGGAAGUUUCUGUUGAUAUAUCGUCAAGCUCAGAGAUUAUUCCUCUGCCAUGUCCAGUCUACUAUUGAACCCAACAAAAGCAUUCUUCAUUUCUGUUGGAAUGUUUUUCAUCUCUGGUGUUUCUUUUUGAUUCCUUGUUAGAAUUUCCUCUCUCUGUUGCCCAUAUGUAAUUGUGUGCUUUCAUAUUGUGUACUUUUUCCAUUAAAGCCCUUAGCAUAUUAAUCAUAGUUAUUUUAAAUUCCAUAGUCUGAUAAUUCCAACAUAUCUGCCAUGUGUAGGUCUGGUUCUGAUGCUUGCUCUGUUUUUUCAAAGUGUAUAUUUUGCUCUUUGGUAUGCCUUGUAAUUUUCUUUUGGCGGCUAGACAUCAUGUACUGGGUAAAAGGACCUACUGUAAAUAGGCCUUUAGUAAUGUGGUGGUCAGGUGUGGCUCUUAGAAGCCUCCAGAAGGCUAGAGCAUGGCACCAGUAAAGGGACUUUGAGCUUAAACUCUGCUAAGCUCUCAGGAGAGAAAUGAGUACACCUGGGACUUCCUGUGUGGCUCUCUCUCCUCCGCAUGCAGCUCCUGUGUGUGACCCAAGAGCCAGGUGACUUGGCCAAGACUGGCUGGAUCUAUACUGCCACCCACAGAACUGGCAAGAGCCUGUAACCCUGCUUCAUGCCCACACAGAGCACUUGUGAGUCUGACAAUGGAGAAAUGAAUGAGUCUUAGUGGAUUUGACUGAUGGUUCCUCAUUUCCAGUGAGGUGUUUUGUGCUGCUCACUGCGCAUUUGUAAAACUUCUUCAGGGCAUCGUUUGUUCAUAAUUUUACCCAUUUUCCCAUAAGGUUCUUUUUCUUUUUCUAUAUGAUUUGAUGUAUUUUUUAUAUUUAUCUCCUUUUAUGUAUGU